UACGUAGGGCGCAAGCGUUGUCCGGAAUUAUUGGGCGUAAAGAGCUCGUAGGCGGCUUGUCACGUCGGGUGUGAAAGCCCGGGGCUUAACCCCGGGUCUGCAUUCGAUACGGGCAGGCUAGAGUGUGGUAGGGGAGAUCGGAAUUCCUGGUGUAGCGGUGAAAUGCGCAGAUAUCAGGAGGAACACCGGUGGCGAAGGCGGAUCUCUGGGCCAUUACUGACGCUGAGGAGCGAAAUCGUGGGGAUCGAACAGG
rnacentral:rRNA from 1 species